AGCAGCCACGGUAAUUCCAGCUCCAAUAGCGUAUAUUAAAGUUGUUGCAGUUAAAAAGCUCGUAGUUGAAUUUCGGGAUCAGUACGCUGGUCGUGCCUUCGGUAUGUACUGGUGUUACUGGUUUCUACCUUCUGAAGAACUAUAAUGUCAUUAGUUUGGUGUGGCGGGGAAUCAGGACUGUUACUUUGAAAAAAUUAGAGUGUUUAAAGCAGGCUCGCGCUUGAAUACAUUAGCAUGGAAUAAUGAAAUAGGACGUUUGAUUCUAUUUUGUUGGUUUCUAGGAUCGACGUAAUGAUUAAUAGGGAUAGUUGGGGGCAUUAGUAUUCAAUUGUCAGAGGUGAAAUUCUUGGAUUUAUUGAAGACUAACUACUGCGAAAGCAUUUGCCAAGGAUGUUUUCAUUAAUCAAGAACGAAAGUUAGGGGAUCGAAGACGAUCAGAUACCGUCGUAGUCUUAACCAUAAACUAUGCCGACUAGGGAUCGGAUGAUGUUAAUUUUAAUGACUCAUUCGGCGCCUUAAC
rnacentral:rRNA from 1 species